rnacentral:lncRNA from 1 species
AGAGAAGAAUUAUCUCAGAGGAACGGAAUUAACUUCUGAUUAAGGCAUAAUUAAUAAUGUCGCCAAAACCUGUUGGUUUUACCUGCAGAGGUGUGUGAAACUUCUGAGCAGCUGUUCUUGUACAUCUUGAAAUGCAGCAACUGUGUGAAGAUCUGCUGCUCCCUGUUUCAAAGGCCUAACCAAGAGUGUUCUGAGGUCUCUGAGCAUUAUCUUCUAGUCUCAGCAGAAAAGCAGUGGUGUAAUUAACAGCUUCAUUAAUGCCAGAGUAAUUAUGAGCUACAGGAAUGGCUGUUGCAUCAGGAAUUCUUCUUGUAGAACUGCAGCAACUUUUUGAUUCUUCAGAACUCAGGAGAAACAUAAAGGGUUGUCCUUUCGAGGCAGACCAGAUCAAGGAGUGGUGCGUGCAGUACCUCAUCCCAGGAUA